rnacentral:rRNA from 1 species
GUUAAGCGACUAAGCGUACACGGUGGAUGCCCUGGCAGUCAGAGGCGAUGAAGGACGUGCUAAUCUGCGAUAAGCGUCGGUGAGGUGAUAUGAACCGUUAUAACCGGCGAUUUCCGAAUGGGGAAACCCAGUGUGUUUCGACACACUAUCAUUAACUGAAUCCAUAGGUUAAUGAGGCGAACCGGGGGAACUGAAACAUCUAAGUACCCCGAGGAAAAGAAAUCAACCGAGAUUCCCCCAGUAGCGGCGAGCGAACGGGGAGGAGCCCAGAGCCUGAAUCAGUGUGUGUGUUAGUGGAAGCGUCUGGAAAGGCGCGCGAUACAGGGUGACAGCCCCGUACACAAAAAUGCACAUAUUGUGAGCUCGAUGAGUAGGGCGGGACACGUGGUAUCCUGUCUGAAUAUGGGGGGACCAUCCUCCAAGGCUAAAUACUCCUGACUGACCGAUAGUGAACCAGUACCGUGAGGGAAAGGCGAAAAGAACCCCGGCGAGGGGAGUGAAAAAGAACCUGAAACCGUGUACGUACAAGCAGUGGGAGCCUCUUUAUGGGGUGACUGCGUACCUUUUGUAUAAUGGGUCAGCGACUUAUAUUCUGUAGCAAGGUUAACCGAAUAGGGGAGCCGAAGGGAAACCGAGUCUUAACUGGGCGUUAAGUUGCAGGGUAUAGACCCGAAACCCGGUGAUCUAGCCAUGGGCAGGUUGAAGGUUGGGUAACACUAACUGGAGGACCGAACCGACUAAUGUUGAAAAAUUAGCGGAUGACUUGUGGCUGGGGGUGAAAGGCCAAUCAAACCGGGAGAUAGCUGGUUCUCCCCGAAAGCUAUUUAGGUAGCGCCUCGUGAAUUCAUCUCCGGGGGUAGAGCACUGUUUCGGCAAGGGGGUCAUCCCGACUUACCAACCCGAUGCAAACUGCGAAUACCGGAGAAUGUUAUCACGGGAGACACACGGCGGGUGCUAACGUCCGUCGUGAAGAGGGAAACAACCCAGACCGCCAGCUAAGGUCCCAAAGUCAUGGUUAAGUGGGAAACGAUGUGGGAAGGCCCAGACAGCCAGGAUGUUGGCUUAGAAGCAGCCAUCAUUUAAAGAAAGCGUAAUAGCUCACUGGUCGAGUCGGCCUGCGCGGAAGAUGUAACGGGGCUAAACCAUGCACCGAAGCUGCGGCAGCGACACUAUGUGUUGUUGGGUAGGGGAGCGUUCUGUAAGCCUGUGAAGGUGGCCUGUGAGGGUUGCUGGAGGUAUCAGAAGUGCGAAUGCUGACAUAAGUAACGAUAAAGCGGGUGAAAAGCCCGCUCGCCGGAAGACCAAGGGUUCCUGUCCAACGUUAAUCGGGGCAGGGUGAGUCGACCCCUAAGGCGAGGCCGAAAGGCGUAGUCGAUGGGAAACAGGUUAAUAUUCCUGUACUUGGUGUUACUGCGAAGGGGGGACGGAGAAGGCUAUGUUGGCCGGGCGACGGUUGUCCCGGUUUAAGCGUGUAGGCUGGUUUUCCAGGCAAAUCCGGAAAACCAAGGCUGAGGCGUGAUGACGAGGCACUACGGUGCUGAAGCGACAAAUGCCCUGCUUCCAGGAAAAGCCUCUAAGCAUCAGGUAACAUCAAAUCGUACCCCAAACCGACACAGGUGGUCAGGUAGAGAAUACCAAGGCGCUUGAGAGAACUCGGGUGAAGGAACUAGGCAAAAUGGUGCCGUAACUUCGGGAGAAGGCACGCUGAUAUGUAGGUGAAGCGACUUGCUCGUGGAGCUGAAAUCAGUCGAAGAUACCAGCUGGCUGCAACUGUUUAUUAAAAACACAGCACUGUGCAAACACGAAAGUGGACGUAUACGGUGUGACGCCUGCCCGGUGCCGGAAGGUUAAUUGAUGGGGUUAGCGGUAACGCGAAGCUCUUGAUCGAAGCCCCGGUAAACGGCGGCCGUAACUAUAACGGUCCUAAGGUAGCGAAAUUCCUUGUCGGGUAAGUUCCGACCUGCACGAAUGGCGUAAUGAUGGCCAGGCUGUCUCCACCCGAGACUCAGUGAAAUUGAACUCGCUGUGAAGAUGCAGUGUACCCGCGGCAAGACGGAAAGACCCCGUGAACCUUUACUAUAGCUUGACACUGAACAUUGAGCCUUGAUGUGUAGGAUAGGUGGGAGGCUUUGAAGUGUGGACGCCAGUCUGCAUGGAGCCGACCUUGAAAUACCACCCUUUAAUGUUUGAUGUUCUAACGUUGGCCCGUAAUCCGGGUUGCGGACAGUGUCUGGUGGGUAGUUUGACUGGGGCGGUCUCCUCCUAAAGAGUAACGGAGGAGCACGAAGGUUGGCUAAUCCUGGUCGGACAUCAGGAGGUUAGUGCAAUGGCAUAAGCCAGCUUGACUGCGAGCGUGACGGCGCGAGCAGGUGCGAAAGCAGGUCAUAGUGAUCCGGUGGUUCUGAAUGGAAGGGCCAUCGCUCAACGGAUAAAAGGUACUCCGGGGAUAACAGGCUGAUACCGCCCAAGAGUUCAUAUCGACGGCGGUGUUUGGCACCUCGAUGUCGGCUCAUCACAUCCUGGGGCUGAAGUAGGUCCCAAGGGUAUGGCUGUUCGCCAUUUAAAGUGGUACGCGAGCUGGGUUUAGAACGUCGUGAGACAGUUCGGUCCCUAUCUGCCGUGGGCGCUGGAGAACUGAGGGGGGCUGCUCCUAGUACGAGAGGACCGGAGUGGACGCAUCACUGGUGUUCGGGUUGUCAUGCCAAUGGCACUGCCCGGUAGCUAAAUGCGGAAGAGAUAAGUGCUGAAAGCAUCUAAGCACGAAACUUGCCCCGAGAUGAGUUCUCCCUGACUCCUUGAGAGUCCUGAAGGAACGUUGAAGACGACGACGUUGAUAGGCCGGGUGUGUAAGCGCAGCGAUGCGUUGAGCUAACCGGUACUAAUGAACCGUGAGG